rnacentral:rRNA from 1 species
GACGAACGCUGGCGGCGUGCCUAAUACAUGCAAGUUGAGCGAUGAAGAUUGGUGCUUGCACCAAUUUGAAGAGCAGCGAACGGGUGAGUAACGCGUGGGGAAUCUGCCUUUGAGCGGGGGACAACAUUUGGAAACGAAUGCUAAUACCGCAUAACAACUUUAAACAUAAGUUUUAAGUUUGAAAGAUGCAAUUGCAUCACUCAAAGAUGAUCCCGCGUUGUAUUAGCUAGUUGGUGAGGUAAAGGCUCACCAAGGCGAUGAUACAUAGCCGACCUGAGAGGGUGAUCGGCCACAUUGGGACUGAGACCCGGCCCCAACUCCUACGGGAGGCAGCAGUAGGGAAUCUUCGGAAAUGGACGAAAGUCUGACCGAGCAACGCCGCGUGAGGGAAGAAGGUUUUCGGAUCGUAAAACUCUGUUGGUAGAGAAGAACGUUGGUGAGAGUGGAAAGCUCAUCAAGUGACGGUAACUACCCAGAAAGGGACGGCUAACUACGUG